GAUGAACGCUGGCGGCGUGCUUAACACAUGCAAGUCGAACGGACAGGCUCCUGCUUGCCGGGGUACUCGAGUGGCGAACGGGUGAGUAACACGUGGGUGAUCUGCCCUGCACUUCGGGAUAAGCCUUGGAAACUGGGUCUCAUACCGGAUAGGACGAUGUUUUGGAUGCCAUUGUGGAAAGUUUUUCGGUGUGGGAUGAGCUCUCGGACUAUCAGCUUCUUGGUGAGGUAAUGGCCUACCAAGGCGUCGACGGGUAGCCGGCCUGAGAGGGGGUACGGCCACAUUGGGACUGAGAUACGGCGCAGAAUCCUACGGGAGGCAGCGGUGGGGAAUAUGGCACAAUGGGGGCGAGCCUGAGGCAGCGACGCCGGGUGGGGGAUGACGGCCUUCGGGUUGUGAACUCCUUUCGCUGGAGACGAAGCGCAAGUGACGGUACCUGGAGAAGAAGCACCGGCUAACUACGUG
rnacentral:rRNA from 1 species